UGGAUCACCUCCUAACAGGGAGACAACAAAAUGUUUAAUAUUAUUAUUUUGUCACCUUAGGUCGAUCGGUACCUCACGUUCUUAAUUUAUUAAGAAUUUCAUUUCCUAAGUUUUUCUAGGUCACACCCAUUAUUUUUCCUGGGCCAUUAGCUCAGGUGGUUAGAGCGCACCCCUGAUAAGGGUGAGGUCCCUGGUUCAAGUCCAGGAUGGCCCAUAUCUCUAUGUUGGGGGUAUAGCUCAGUUGGUAGAGCGCCUGCUUUGCAAGCAGGAUGUCAGCGGUUCGAGUCCGCUUACCUCCACUGAUUACCACCUCUUCCAUAAUUUGUAGAAAGGAAAUUUUUUGAGUUGUGAUCAAAUUCUGAACGAAUCUAGCUUCCUAAUGAAAUCAUUAAGAUGCUGGACUCAUUGAAUUAAUUUCAUUGUUUUCAGAGAACCUUGACAACUGCAUAGAUUAUUUUAAAGACAAUAAGCAUCUUUAAUGAUGCAGAUUUAUUAUUUGUGCGAAUGCAUUAAUAACAAUUCUAUUAAGCUGAUGCUUCAAUUUUGAAGUUAUUGGUCAAGCUACAAAGGGCUCACGGAGGAUACCUAGGCACACAGAGGCGAUGAAGG
rnacentral:tRNA from 1 species